UUUCCGUAGGUGAACCUGCGGAAGGAUCAUUAUUGAAUGAACUUGGUAGUGGUUGUAGCUGGCUCUCUCGAGAGCAUGUGCACACCCGCCAUCUUUGUCUUUCCACCUGUGCACUUCUUGUAGACUUUGGGAUUUGAAAACUUAUCCGGGGCAACUCGGUCGGGAGGAGCUGCUGUAGCAAUACGGCUCUCCUUGACAAGUCUUCAAAGUCUAUGUUUUUCAUAUACCCCAUAGUAUGUAACAGAAUGUAUACAAAUGAGCCUUAGUGCUUAUAAAACUUAUACAACUUUCAACAACGGAUCUCUUGGCUCUC
rnacentral:misc_RNA from 1 species